rnacentral:rRNA from 1 species
GGUGCAUGGUUGUCGUCAGCUCGUGUCGUGAGAUGUUGGGUUAAGUCCCGCAACGAGCGCAACCCUUAUUAUCAGUUGCCAGCAUUAAGUUGGGCACUCUGGUGAGACUGCCGGUGACAAACCGGAGGAAGGUGGGGAUGACGUCAAAUCAUCAUGCCCCUUAUGACCUGGGCUACACACGUGCUACAAUGGAUGGUACAACGAGUUGCGAACUCGCGAGAGUAAGCUAAUCUCUUAAAGCCAUUCUCAGUUCGGAUUGUAGGCUG